CCUACGGGAGGCAGCAGUGGGGAAUAUUGGGCAAUGGGCGCAAGCCUGACCCAGCAACGCCGCGUGAAGGAAGAAGGCUUUCGGGUUGUAAACUUCUUUUAAGAGGGAAGAGAAGAAGACGGUACCUCUUGAAUAAGCCACGGCUAACUACGUGCCAGCAGCCGCGGUAAUACGUAGGUGGCAAGCGUUGUCCGGAUUUACUGGGUGUAAAGGGCGUGCAGCCGGGCUGACAAGUCAGAUGUGAAAUCCAGCGGCUCAACCGCGGAACUGCAUUUGAAACUGUCAGUCUGGAGUACCGGAGAGGUCAUCGGAAUUGCUAGUGUAGCGGUGAAAGGCGUAGAUAGUAGGAGGAACACCAGUGGCGAAGGCGGCUUACUGGACUGUAACUGACGUUGAGGCUCGAAAGCGUGGGGAGCAAACAGGAUUAGAUACCCCGGUAGUC
rnacentral:rRNA from 1 species